AACGAACGUUAGCGGCGCGCUUAACACAUGCAAGUCGAGCGAGAAAGGGGCAACCCCGGUAAAGCGGCGCACGGGUGAGUAACACGUAGGUAAUCUACCCUCGGGUGGAGGGAUAACUUUCCGAAAGGAAGGCUAAUACUGCAUGAGACCACGACCUCGAAAGGGGAUGGGGGUCAAAGCCGGCCUCUGUACACAAGCUGGCGCCUGAGGAUGAGCCUGCGGCCCAUCAGCUAGUUGGUAGGGUAAUGGCCUACCAAGGCGAAGACGGGUAGCUGGUCUGAGAGGAUGAUCAGCCACACUGGAACUGAGACACGGUCCAGACUCCUACGGGAGGCAGCAGUGGGGAAUCUUGCGCAAUGGGCGAAAGCCUGACGCAGCGACGCCGCGUGGGUGAUGAAGGCCUU
rnacentral:rRNA from 1 species